CAAGUCGAGCGGACAGAUGGGAGCUUGCUCCCUGAUGUUAGCGGCGGACGGGUGAGUAACACGUGGGUAACCUGCCUGUAAGACUGGGAUAACUCCGGGAAACCGGGGCUAAUACCGGAUGCUUGUUUGAACCGCAUGGUUCAAACAUAAAAGGUGGCUUCGGCUACCACUUACAGAUGGACCCGCGGCGCAUUAGCUAGUUGGUGAGGUAACGGCUCACCAAGGCGACGAUGCGUAGCCGACCUGAGAGGGUGAUCGGCCACACUGGGACUGAGACACGGCCCAGACUCCUACGGGAGGCAGCAGUAGGGAAUCUUCCGCAAUGGACGAAAGUCUGACGGAGCAACGCCGCGUGAGUGAUGAAGGUUUUCGGAUCGUAAAGCUCUGUUGUUAGGGAAGAACAAGUGCCGUUCAAAUAGGGCGGCACCUUGACGGUACCUAACCAGAAAGCCACGGCUAACUACGUGCCAGCAGCCGCGGUAAUACGUAGGUGGCAAGCGUUGUCCGGAAUUAUUGGGCGUAAAGGGCUCGCAGGCGGUUUCUUAAGUCUGAUGUGAAAGCCCCCGGCUCAACCGGGGAGGGUCAUUGGAAACUGGGGAACUUGAGUGCAGAAGAGGAGAGUGGAAUUCCACGUGUAGCGGUGAAAUGCGUAGAGAUGUGGAGGAACACCAGUGGCGAAGGCGACUCUCUGGUCUGUAACUGACGCUGAGGAGCGAAAGCGUGGGGAGCGAACAGGAUUAGAUACCCUGGUA
rnacentral:rRNA from 1 species